rnacentral:rRNA from 1 species
UCUCCUGGAAAACGGGUGGUAAUGCCGGAUGUUCCACAUGAUCGCAUGUGAUUGUGGGAAAGAUUUCAUCGGCGUGGGAUGGGGUCGCGUCCUAUCAGCUUGUUGGUGAGGUAACGGCUCACCAAGGCUUCGACGGGUAGCCGGCCUGAGAGGGCGACCGGCCACAUUGGGACUGAGAUACGGCCCAGACUCCUACGGGAGGCAGCAGUGGGGAAUAUUGCACAAUGGGCGCAAGCCUGAUGCAGCGACGCCGCGUGAGGGAUGGAGGCCUUCGGGUUGUAAACCUCUUUUGUUUGGGAGCAAGCCUUCGGGUGAGUGUACCUUUCGAAUAAGCGCCGGCUAACUACGUGCCAGCAGCCGCGGUAAUACGUAGGGCGCAAGCGUUAUCCGGAUUUAUUGGGCGUAAAGGGCUCGUAGGCGGCUCGUCGCGUCCGGUGUGAAAGUCCAUCGCUUAACGGUGGAUCUGCGCCGGGUACGGGCGGGCUGGAGUGCGGUAGGGGAGACUGGAAUUCCCGGUGUAACGGUGGAAUGUGUAGAUAUCGGAAAAGAACACC